UUCAAGUGUUCAAUCAUCAUAUGUGACUAGUGGCUGUUAUGUUGGACAGCACACAUAUAGAACAUUUUCAUCCGUGCGGAAAGUUCAAUAGGCUGCUGAAAUGUUCUGGUGAGAAUACAAUGUAGAAUGGGAAGUUAGGAGAAUGAGAAUCAGAGUUUGAUCAAUGAAAGCCAGAGGAACAAGAACAGUUAUGGAGUGUUUGAAAGGAUUUUAGAGGUGAGUUAGACCCAUUACUAAAUUAGUAAAUGAAUUAUUUAUAUUGCUUAUUUUUCCUUAUGUGAAAGUAACCAGAAGCUCCCAAACUUAAGAAGUAUAUACACAAGCAAUGAAUGAGAUAAUCAGUUUUGCAUCAUCUAUGUAAAAAAUUGUAUUAUCAUAAAUUAUUAUCUAUAAUAAAUUAUUUGAUAAUAAAUUUUCACUGUUGAACUAAUGUGCAGACUUUCCAAAAAUGCUUUCCAUGAUCUCAUGGGGGAUGAAAUGCUGUUUCAACUUUUCAAAUACAAUAAGAUCAGCCAAUAAAUUAGUAUCAGGACAAAAGUAUUGAGGUAAAAAGAAACCAUAAAAUACUUACAAAAAUACAUGCAU
rnacentral:lncRNA from 1 species